rfam:Echinostoma caproni strain Egypt genome assembly, scaffold: ECPE_scaffold0007224
GCACUGUUGACGAGUCCCAAACAGGAUGAAACAGCUGUCCAGUGC